CGGCUCUUUAUGUCUUCAUGGUGUUGUUAGAAAUUAACCAACAUCACUUUAGUCAUAAAGUUUCUUAAGUUUACAAAAGGGCGACAUGAAUAAAAUUUUGAGCGACACAACUCAGGUUCCAGGCUACAGACUUCAGAAGAGAUGACUUCCGAGCGACUUGACCGGUUACUACUAGACGCUGCAGACUUUUCCCUCUUCAAUAUCUUCUCCUUCGUUAAAAAUAUAAAAACGACAAUUUUUUCGUUCCGUUUGUUAAUUGAAGUUAACAAAGACAAAAAGCAUACUCAAAAUCGCCGUUGCAUCGCACAUAAUCAAAAAAUACACUCCUCUAUUACAACUAAUCAGCUGAUCGGAUUACGCGUCACGUUCGCUUUUGCAUCAAAUUCAUCGUUUAAAGGGUGCCCUUAGCGAAAAUUAUGGAAUAUUCUGGUCUCAGAUACGAGUUUUUGAAUACAACUUAAAUAAUACACGCGAUGUCAAACGCAAAAAAGGCUACUGGAGGUAAAUAACUUUGCUUUUCAAAACCACGUGUUCGCUGUCGGUCGUUUGCGAGGGCUUUAGCUAAGUUCUCACCUCGAUUUCUUGCCGCAGAUCUCGACUGUUUCCUUCACCACUGUCUAUUCCUUCGACAGAGUAUUUGGUAAUAAAUAUAACCACUAGAACAUCCUUAGCGGGAACAAGAUGGACCCUAAAUAUCCCCAACGCCGAUGUAAUCAAUCACACCAGAGGCCUCCCAAGCUUACGUCUCGAGAAAAAAAGCGAAUGAUUUUAAACUUCAUGAAAGCGUCACGCUUUCCCUAAGUUUUUCACUGGAAGUCAACAAUAUUAUCCCAUGUACAAAUAUCGCAUUUAUUUUGAUCAAUUUCAUUCUUUUUAUUUUUUACGAGACAAUUUAAAGGUCACCCAAAACUGCUCAAUUUGUCUUCUGUGGCCCCUAUAAUUAAGCUAUAAAUAUCGAGCGCUGCCAAAUCCUUAUUUCCCAAUCUAGAAAGCUGAUUAUUUUACAUAUUUAAGAAUGACUUUAUUUCAAUACGUCAAAGGUGAAACAAUUGCAUUCUGUAAAAUUUUGACCGAGUUAUGAAACUUUAAACUAAAAGGCUCAAAGGUGCAGGAACAAUUAUGUGAUGGAGUAUCAACAUCGAUGUUAAUCAUCAUUUUGGCCUUUUUUUUAACGAAAUGAAAAUACUUUUUAAUUCCUAUAUGCAAAUUAAUUGCAAUUAUAUUUUUAUGACCAUUUUCAUUUUCUAUGAGGCGCUAAAAAAGAGCCGUGUGUUUCUGUUUCACCUAAUUAAAUUACAGAUUAAUUUUGAUAAAGAAAUUCGACGGUCGUUACAUUUCCUUUUAAUACAGGUACAUCUCUUCAAAAACACACGAAAUGUUUUUUGCUUAAAGCUUAUUAAAGUGAAGACUUUUUAACUUUUC